UAUUUCUCAUCUUCUUCUUGUCAUUUUCGUCCCUCA
rnacentral:sRNA from 1 species